rnacentral:tRNA from 1 species
ACUAUUUUGGCAGAUUAGUGCAUUAAAUUUAGAAUUUAGAUAUGUAAUAGUUAUUUAUUACAAAUAGUA